UAUAACCAGCGCCGCCUCCCUUUCUCUCCACAUCUCAAACCCCCGAUCCAAUCCGCUCCUCUCUUCCUGAAUCAUGAUCUGUAUGGAGUCCCCCCCUAGCUUCUGAAUCCGCUGGCUGCUUUGCUUUUGAUUUUCUUCUUGCUGUUUGAUUUUGGUUUGGUUUGGUUUGAUUUGGGUUGGUGGUUUGCUCGCUGGUACAGCGGCGGCGAGCGCGGAGUAACCACGGCGCUCGGCGCCCCUUCCUGAGGCCAGCCACAUUAGUUUUAGCCGAUCAUCUGACCGAGCGUCUCCUCGAUUUCUCCCCACGGAUUCGCUCUUGUCAAGAUCUGGCACAUCCACAAUCCUCUUCUUCUCCACCACCAUCAAGUCAACCGAAAUCUUACUACUAGCUUCCGCCCGCGGAUUUGAUUUGGAUGGAUUUUUUUUUCUUUUUAUUUGUUUUUGGGGUCUGCUUCUCGUUCAUCGUUUGAGCUGGUGAUGUGGUGCCAAGGAUGAGCAAAUCAAUCUGUUCCUCGGUCACCUCCCAUACCCAGCGAGAUGGAAGGAGGAUUCCGGCAGCCAUUCUUUGCAGCUACGGGUGGCAGCGUGGCACCCCUAUUGGGAUGAGCUGGCACAGUUACACGCCUGGGAGAUCGAUCACCAGGUGCCCUUUCGUUACAUGCGCCGCGGCUCAUCUCAAUCGUGGCUUGUGUACAUCAGGGCUUCACAUUUUUUAUUUCUUUCUUUCUUUCUGCUUGUUCAUCGGUAUCAGGAAUGCUGGAAAAAAACAGUUGAUACUGAUGCCUCCUUGAGCAGAAAUUUUGGGGCAAGUUAGAGCAGUGAACAAUCUUUGAACUCCAGAUUGGACAUUGUUUGUUUGAGCAAAACUUUGGAUGGUUCCGAUUUGGAAGAAGUGGAAUUCAUGCAAUUAUUUAAAGAUGCUUGGUAUUCAUGCAGCAUGGUGUAAUUGUUCCAAUAUGUUUGCUGUUCGUUUCAUGAGUUGAUUGAUGAUGCCCCAGUGAAGAUAAAGUUUCGGUCCGAAGAUGAUUUGGAUUGUCUGGUUUUAGCUUCAAGCCUUCUUGUCAUCUAACUUUGAUAAUUGGAUGGCUUGUGGCUAAAACCAUCACUGCUAAGAAUCAUCAGUGAUGGCCAAUAAUAGCUAUGAGAUCUGAGGGGUAAAA